GGAAGAGCUUCCUUCCCUCAAUUCCAGUCUCAGAGAAGGCUGCCUCCAUUUCAGUGUUUGGCUGCCGAACACAAACCUCAGGGAAGAAGAAGAAGAAGAAGAAGAAGAAGAAGAAGAAGAAGAAGAAGAAGAAGAAGAAGAAGAAGAAGAAGAAGAAGAAGAAGAAGAAGAAGAAGAAGAAAACUGCUACUUGCAUCAAGCAGACUAAAUUUAGCUUCCUUACCUCCUCCUCCUCAAUCAGUAGGAUUGCUGAUUUUCCAGCAAGGCUUCAAGGCGACUGUGUCAAUUGGCCUCUACUGUGCAAGCUAGCAACUGUCUGGAUCCAAGUCAAUCUACAUAACAACAACAACAACAAAUACUUACAUGCCACUUUUCAACAAAAAAGGUUUCCGGAGUAGUUUACAUCUGAAAUCCUCCACAUCAAAAUUUUCUCUAGAUUUUGGAGUUUUUGAAUUAUCUGCUCUUGUUUCUAAAGUAGAAGCAAUGCAUUAGGAAUCCUCCAUUGCUCUGAUUUUAGUUUAUGAAUUUUAUACAGCAUGCAGUUUGCUGCAGCUUUUAGUUCCAUCAGUUCCCUUAUGUCUCCCUCCACCCAUGUGUGCAUUGAUAAAACACAACAGGAAAGCAGUCUUGAUGGGAUGUAUGUGUGAUUUCAUCCAGAUUCUUUUCUUGCUGUGCUUUACCGAUGCACAGGUGCAUAUUGAUAAAGCACUGCAAAAAAGCAAUCUUGAUAUGACUCUGCAUAUGACUGAACUGACAUUCUUUUGUGUGGUGUUUAACUAAUGCACUGGAGUGCAUGUGCUCACAGAAAGAAUAUUGAUACAAUCAUACAUAUUAUUGGGGGUGGGGCUGUAGCUCAGUGGCAGAGCUACUGCUUGGCAUGCAGAAGAAGGUCCCAGGUUCUAUCCCUGACAUCUCGAAAUAUGGCUGAGAAAGACUCCUGCCUGAAACCCUAGAGAACCACUGCCAGUCAAUGUAGACAAUAUUCAAUGGUCUGACUUAGUAUAAGGCAGCUUCCUAUGUUCCUAUCCCAUCAAGACUGCUUUGCGGCAUUUUAUCAAUGUGCACAUACAGUGGGAGGCAGGGGUGGCUGGUACAGGCCCCCUCCCCCCAGGGGAGUGGCAGGAAGCAUCUUUAAGUGUUAAUUAGUUGUUGAUUACCUCCCAUUCCGCUGCACUUGAAAGCUCUUCUCAGCAGCAGCAUGCCACCCAGAACCCGCUACAGUAGAGGAUUGACUCCACCACUCAGCUCUGGCCUCCACACAUGUAUGGAGGACAUUUGUGGACCACACAAAUGGCCUCCGCCGGCUGAGUGGCAAAACUGAUCCUCCACCGCAUCAGGUGCUGAGUGGCGCAUUGCUGCUGGGAAGCGCUUUCGGGUGUAGUGGUAGGGCAGGUAAGCACCUACUAAUUUGCACUUAAAAGUGCCUCCCGCCCCCCGCCCUCAGCGAUGCCUGCCACUGGUGGGAGGAAGAGACAAAUGAACCAAAAGAACUGAACAGAGUGAUGAACUGUACAUGCUCCAAUUAUAGAACUAAUUUUAGACAUUCUUCUAGCCCAGAACUGAGGAGUAGAAUUAGGGAGAAAUUGACCCAUGGAACAAAAGAGGAAUGGAACAGGGAGAAUCUGCUCACCCCUACUUCAGAUAUCACAUUUUAAUAGAUGGGGUGUUUCCCCUACCAGGGUGAGUGCUUUAUGCUAAUAACUCCCUGUGCAAAGGAUGCCACCAUCAAAACGUGAAAGGGGCUAAACUCUUCCUGACUUUUAGAGCUGAGAUCUCUUCGUCUGUUUAACAAGAUCUCAUCAGUAAAUUAGCCUUUCCUGUGAAGGACGGCAUCUCUGGGAAAUGAGCUUUGCCCUCAUAUGCUGCAUAUUGCGGAGGGAGAGGGCUCCUUUCAAAGCGUUUGCAUCAGGUGUCCUCACUUCGAACGCACUUCGCUUUGCUGCAGGUGCCUCUUCAAAGGGUUUUGCUUUUUGUCAUAGGAGGAAGGGGUAACCACCUUCAAAGGACUUCAUUUAACAUGACUGAAGGAAUUUAAAGGCAUCCGAACAUGAAACGUCUGGAAACGUGGUUUUAAAAUUUGAUGAGCCCUGACUUCUUUCUCUCUAUAAAUGCUAGAUUUUUUCCUCAGAUAAACAUGUCAUGCGGAGGGUGGGGGUGGGGACAGUUCAUAAACAGAAUUAAAGAUACAGGCUUGAGCCAGAUAUCCAGUUACAUGAAAUGAAGAACAUUUGCUCAUGUAUGGGGGAGGGACCAAAUCCUACUCGUUCACCCACCCCAGUUGCAAUGCCAUGCCACAUAAAAUAUGCCAUAUUUAGGGAGGGGCCAUAGUUCAGCUAGAUGAUCCAGUGGUCACAGCUCAGUGGCAGAGCAUCUGCUUUUCCAUCCCUGGUUCAAUCCCCGGCAGCAUCUCCAGGUAGGGCUGGGAAAGACUCCUGCUUGAAACCAUGGAGACCCACUGCCAGUCUGUGUAGACAAUACUGAGCUAGAUUGAGCAAUGGUCUGACUUGGCAGAAGGCAGCUUCCCAUGUUCCUAUAACUCAUUAUAAGGCUGCUUGCUUAAUAUGUCAAUCUGUAGUAUACCCCAGCUCUCUGUCUCAGCCCCCCAGGGGUGCAAUGGGCUGUGCUGGGAGAGGGAACUGGGCAGCUACAGUGUUUUUGCCCAGGCAAGUGGUGACCAAGCCAAUGUGCAUGAGCAAAGCUGCAGAAUUACAUCAGGAAUUUAAGCAUCUCUGAUGUAUGCAAGUGAUUAAGAUGGGAUUCUCAGGUAGGCGAUUUCAAAAGAAACAUAGGAGAUACUUGUAAGAAAGGUUGCAUGUUGUUAUUUACCUAAGCAAGGCCAUUUCCAGUUUCCUGGGUUACUUUCCAACUUACACAGUUAGAAUCCUCAAAAACACUUCUUGGAAGUGAGACUUGCAGUUGUCUCUGCUGGCCAGAUGUUUUACAAUGAGAAUUUAUUUCUUUGUUUUAAAAACGUUGACUUCAUUUGUCUUCCAUAACGAACCCAUAGAGGAUCACACCAACAAUUAUUUAACAAUUCUGAAGGGUGUUAAAAUAUCCAGGGAUGUGUAUCAGACUAAAGUAUCAGACUAAAACUAGGAAGGCCUAGAGUCACAUCCCCAAUCACCUGGAAAGCUGAUUGGACUAAUCACUGUCUCCUGUCCUGGCCUAGCUCACAGGGUUGUUGUGAGGAUAAAAUGGAGGAGUGAGCCAUGUAUACCAUCCUGAGGAAGUGUGGAAUAAAAAAGAAUUGCAAUAAAGUGGGUGAAGCUUCUCAGGAGGUGAUGGGGCUACACACAGAUCAGAUCCUGGUUAUCUAUCCUGGUUAAAUAGGAUUCUUUAACCACAGAAGUUUGACCAAGAUUAUCCAGGAAUUCUAGAUUCUCACAAUCAGCUCCGCGGGCCUCAGUGAUCUUGGUUAAUUCUUUAACCAGGAUUGCUGUGAUUGUGUGAAUUCAGUCAAGAUGAAUCCAAACUGGAAAACCUAAGAUAUAAUAUAAUGCAGUAUGAGCAGUCUUCCUUAGGUACCCUCACUUCAUCCUGCAUCAUCAAUGCAUGAGAGAAUAUAAAUUGCAAAUCUGCCUGGAAGGUACAACUGACUGCAAGACAACCACAGUGUGACGCAUAAUGAGAAUCCAUAAUGAUAUAAAUAUUUAAUUCCUUUAACUAACUACUUCUAAACACUAUAGAUAUGCAAGUGUAAUUAAUUUUCAACCACUAUCUGCUUUUCCAUUCCUAUGCUAAUUAGCAGUGCACAGAAGAGAUGCUGUUACAUAACUGAUUUUUUUUGUAUGUACAUGGUUAUAUCCUUGUACAUUUGCACAGAAUAUGCUGAGCGCCGUAGCCUCCCUUUCAAACAGUACCUAGGGGAGUGCCUGCCACAAGAAUGACACAGAGAUUGAUACAGGGUCUUUCAUUAGAAGAUAGUGCCAGCGCAUCAUACAUUGUUUGGUAGUAUUCCCCCCCCCCCCGCCCGCUUUUGGUACAGAUUAAAAAUGUCAGUAUUGAAAAUUGGAGGCACAAGAACACCAUCAAUGGAUAUUCUUUCAUGGAGUAUGAAAAACAGGAUUGAAGCAUAUGAAACAAUUCCCAAUUUUGUACUAAGUCAUAAACUGGAAAAGCAGUCAUGGCUGACAUACAGAGCUGUUUCUCAUGACUGGGAGAAAGGGCUCAAAAGGGGCAAGGGUGUAGAGGAAGAAUGGCAGUUCAGUCCCCAAAUAGCUAAGCAAAACCUGUUUGGUGAGAAUGCCCCUCCCAAGGCCUUGUGCUGCAGGGAGGGUAGUUUGUCCCAGCCCCGCCCUGGCACGAGCCCUGGAAGACCACUGAUUGGUCUAGUGCCUCUUUGAGGGCAGGGUUGGAACUGCAGCUAUUGCUGCUCCCCACUCCAAACUCUCAGUUGGUGCUGGGAUUCCCCCCCCCCUCCCUAGGUGGUGAACGGGCAUGUGCUGGUCAUCCUUUUAGGGGCCAAGUAGGAAUUUUUGGCUUCCAACAUAUAGGCUGCUGUGGGGGGGGGGGGGUUUCGCCUACUCUGUUCUGCUUGUCUAGAUGUUAGCUAGUUAGUUCGGUCACAGCUGGGAGGGACAGAGCAGACUGGGUUGUCAGGAAAAGUAGGAUUUAAUAAAGGUGAGCACUCUUGGACAGUUAAAUAGGUUCAUUGGUCUAUCACUCCCUUGUGGUUUGAGCGGCCCAGGGAUGCUGGUGGGCCAUGUAACCAGCUUCAGGACUUCACAAAUCCUAGAGCUCAACCGUCCAAGAGAUGUGAAGGCCUAGAAGUGUCGAGACCCCUGUGGGGUUGACUAUGAAGGGAUAGGAGCGGGUUGUUUACCUGCUUCCUUCUGGAGUCAGGGUGUGGCGACCACAUAGGACACAGGGAAGGACUGUGGUGUCUAAACCUGGUCUUGUUAAGCUCGCACUGUCGGGGGUGGGGGUGGAGUAUUUUGCCUUCUUUUGUCCACUACUCAAUUAAUUGAUUGAUAAAUAAAGUUGUGGCCCUUUAUACCCAA